GACGAACGCUGGCGGCGUGCCUAAUACAUGCAAGUCGAGCGAUGAAGGGUGGUUCUUGCACGAAUUUGGAGAGCAGCGGACGGGUGAGUAACGCGUGGGGAAUCUGCCUUUGAGGGGGGGACAACAUAAGGGAACGAAUGCUAAUACCGCAUAAGAACUUUAAACAUAAGGUUCAAGGUAGAAAGAUGCAAUUGCAUCACCCAAAGAUGAUUCCGCGUUGGAUUAGCUAGUUGGUGAGGAAAAGGCUCACCAAGGCGAUGAUACAUAGCCGGCCUGAGAGGGUGGUCGGCCCCAAUGGGACUGGGACCCGGCCCAAACUCCUUACGGAGGCAGCCGUUGGGGAAUUUCGGCCAUGGGGGGAAGUCCUGCCGCGCACCGCCGGGUGGGUGGAGGAGGUUUUCGGAUCGUAAAACUCUGUUGGUAGAGAAGAACGUUGGUGAGAGUGGAAAGCUCAUCAAGUGACGGUACCUACACAGAAAGGGCCGGCUAACUUCGUG
rnacentral:rRNA from 1 species